AAGGCCCACAACAUGAAGAUGGGCAGAGGUUUAGCUGAAGGGAAAGAAAAAUAUAUUCUUGUACUGCUGGAUUUUCCUGUCUGAAUGAGUGGGAAACAGCUCUGCGGCUUGCUUGCUGGAAAGCUGCAGGACCUGGAAGAAGGGAUAGGCACAUGUCAGACAGAUGUACUCAGAUCAGGAACUUCCCUUGAUCAAACAUCUGCCUGUGGAUACACAGACCAUGCCAACUGCUUGCAGGCUUCGCCAAAGGGGAACACCCAGCUUUGGGGUCUAGAAACAUCGGCCCUUACUCACUGCGCUGUUUUUUCAUGAAAAGGCCAAAUGUAUUCUUUCCAGCAGAGGGCAGCAGACAUGUGGCAACGUAUGACCAGAACAAGGAGAAAAUUAUGAAAUUAAUUGUAGCAAAUGUGAAAUCCUAGAUGCACAUAAGCCAGGUUCUGAGUUAAACUCAUGAAAUGCUUUUCAGAUUAGAGAUAUUACUGUACAGUUCGAUUUUGACACCAAGUUCUCCAGCAGAAAGGAGAGACAUCCGACAGAAGAGCAGCCCAUGGCAAGACAAAACUGUCAAAGAAAGAAGGAAGAGAAAACAAUCCAACUGACUGUUUCCUUGCAACGCAUCCUUUCCCUGGGAAGAUGAGAAGCUGCAUUUCAGCUGCUGUAGAGAAAGCACAAGCCAGAUGUGGAGUUCAGUGCCAGUGCAUCGACUCACAGGACAGAAUGUGUGCACAGGAGGUGUCAAAGCCCAGAAGUGCAGCAGCACAGAAGAGAUUAUGAGGUUCUUUCUUCUCCUCCACUUGGAUGCUUCAAGCAGUGAAGCUAAAGCAGCACAGGCAGAGCGGCAGAAUAUGGCAUCCUUAAUGCCUAGCGGCCUAGCAGAUUAAUUGUGCAACCACUGUCCCCCACUUUUCCUGCAUAUUAAAGUGGGGCUAAUGAGUCAUUAAUUGCAGUCUGCUUGGAAGAAUGGGUUGUUUGUUCAGCACUUUGAAAUCAUAAAUCAAUAUAUACUGCAAAUACGAUGUGCCACCUACAGCUUCAUUCAACAGAGAGCAGCAUUGGACAGGAAAAAAAUGAUGCCUCUCCCUGGCUCAUAAUGCUGCCCUCUGUAGAACCAGGUGGUGUGGAUGACUCCUUGGUGUCUGUCUGGAGAAUAAGUGUGAUGGAAGAGGGCUUUUCCACCAUCUCCUGUGGGCAAAGUGAGCAAACCUAAAUGAAGUAAGAGGAGGAUAUAAAUGGUGAUCACCUGAAUCAUUUUGGCUUCCAUAGAUAUGACUAUUCAUUUAGUAAGCCGAUGACACAAAUAUUUUCUUUGGCACUCCAAGGUCCUCUACAGGCGUAUUAGGCAGUAUUUUCAGAGAAGCAUUUAAAAAA